CUUUUAAUCUGCCGAAAUUGGCACCAAAAUCUCUGGUUCUAUUGCCGCUGGUGCCACUUCUGGUUCUGCUGGCCGGUUAAGUCUAUUGAGUGGCCGUAUUGGUACACCCAUUUGGUACACCCAUUUCUGUUUUUUGCUGGAACAGCUAAAUCCGCCAUCUUGCGGCUGUUAGGCUUACCUCGUCAUUGCCAAUUGCGGCAUCCCUAGCUAGUUAACAAAGUGGGUGGGUUAAAAAAAUUCUCUCUUUCUCUGUGUUUGGCAGCCAGAAUCGUUGUCUCUGGCAGUGUGUACAAAUAUAUUCUCUGUGUCUGUGUGUCCAUUAGUGUGCCUGUAAGUGUAAUGUGUAUGCUUCUGGAAUUAUAAGGGGCUGGAGAGUUCUAAUGGCAGCUAUGGCUGUAUAAAUAUUUUGUAUGGUCAGAAUAGGAAAUAUAAUUGUUCUUUUUAAUGUCUCAAACCAGAGGCAGCCUUAUUACAAUUCUCUCCCCCUCUUUUAUUUCAAGUCCAGUAUUCAAAUCAGUUUUGCUUAGUACAGCUUGAUACGUGUA